GACGAACGCUGGCGGCGUGCUUAACACAUGCAAGUCGAACGGAAAGGCCCUGCUUUUGUGGGGUGCUCGAGUGGCGAAUGGGUGAGUAACACGUGAGUAACCUGCCCUUGACUUUGGGAUAACUUCAGGAAACUGGGGCUAAUACCGGAUAGGAGCUCCUGCUGCAUGGUGGGGGUUGGAAAGUUUCGGCGGGUGGGGAUGGACUCGCGGCUUAUCAGCUUGUUGGUGGGGUAGUGGCUUACCAAGGCUUUGACGGGUAGCCGGCCUGAGAGGGUGACCGGCCACAUUGGGACUGAGAUACGGCCCAGACUCCUACGGGAGGCAGAAGUGGGGAAUAUUGCACAAUGGGCGGAAGCCUGAUGCAGCAACGCCGCGUGCGGGAUGACGGCCUUCGGGUUGUAAACCGCUUUCGCCUGUGACGAAGCGUGAGUGACGGUAAUGGGUAAAGAAGCACCGGCUAACUACGUG
rnacentral:rRNA from 1 species